AUUGAACGCUGGCGGCAGGCCUAACACAUGCAAGUCGAACGGUAACAGGAAGAAGCUUGCUUCUUUGCUGACGAGUUGCGGUCGGGUGCGUAAUGUCUGGGAAACUGCCUGAUGGAGGUGGAUAUCUACUGGAAACGGUAGCUAAUACCGCAUAACGUCGCAAGACCAAAGCGGGGGACCUUCGGGCCUCUUGCCAUCGGAUGUUCCCAGAUGGGAUUAGCUAGUAGGUGGGGUAACGGCUCACCUAGGCGACGAUCCCUAGCUGGUCUGAGAGGAUGAAAAGCCACACUGGAAAUGAGACACGGUCCAGACUCCUACGGGAGGGAGCAGUGGGGAAUAUUGCACAAUGGGCGCAAGCCUGAUGCAGCCAUGAAGCGUGUAUGAAGAAGAAAUUCGGGUUGGAAAGUACUUGCAGCGGGGAGGAAGAGAGUAAAGUAAAUACCUUUGAUCAUUGACGUUAACCGCAGAAGAAGAACAGGCUAAAUCCGUG
rnacentral:rRNA from 1 species